rnacentral:rRNA from 1 species
GACGAACGCUGGCGGCGUGCUUAACACAUGCAAGUCGAACGGAAAGGCCCUGCUUUUGUGGGGUGCUCGAGUGGCGAACGGGUGAGUAACACGUGAGUAACCUGCCCUUGACUUUGGGAUAACUUCAGGAAACUGGGGCUAAUACCGGAUAGGAGCUCCUGCUGCAUGGUGGGGGUUGGAAAGUUUCGGCGGUUGGGGAUGGACUCGCGGCUUAUCAGCUUGUUGGUUGGGUAGUGGCUUACCAAGGCUUUGACGGGUAGCCGGCCUGAGAGGGUGACCGGCCACAUUGGGAAUGAGAUACGGCCCAGACUCCUACGGGAGGCAGCAGUGGGGAAUAUUGCACAAUGGGCGGAAGCCUGAUGCAGCAACGCCGCGUGCGGGAUGACGGCCUUCGGGUUGUAAACCGCUUUCGCCUGUGACGAAGCGUGAGUGACGGUAAUGGGUAAAGAAGCACCGGCUAACUACGUG